UCUCUCUCUUUCUAAAAAAUAAACAUUAAAAAAAAAUAAAAAGGAUUUUAAAAGUUUCAUGUAUCUCUCAACUUGAGACUCACUGAAAACCAACAACGCCUCUAUCGGUUUUAGGGACACCGAUUCAAAAAAUUGUAUUUCUUUCCUGUUGCUGCCGUAACAGAUCCCUUCAAAUUUAGUGGCUUAAAACGAGAGAAAUUUAUUCUCACAGUUCUAGAGGCCAGAUGUUUGCUGGUUUACACUCUGUCCUUUCGUUGGCCUUUCCAGACUCUGGUGGCUGUUGGCAUCCCUUGCCUUGUGGCCACGUGGGCCCGCAGUCUGCCUCCAUGAUCUCAUUGCUGCCUCUUCUGUCUCUAAAGUCCCUCUGCCUUCGCUUCUAAAGACCCUUGUCAUGGGUUUAGGGUCCACUCAGAUACAAUAAAACGAUCCAACACAGAUACAGUAUUCUGAGAAAGUUCCCUGUGCCUGUACACACCUUUCCCAAGUAUGCCAUGAUUUGAUGUGUAACUUCAGAUUUCUUCUCAUUAAAUAAAUGGAAAUUGUGGGAAGGCUCCCCCAAUAAAUUAGCCUCUUGGA